UACAGAGGGUGCGAGCGUUGUCCGGAAUCACUGGGCGUAAAGGGCGCGUAGGCGGCUUGAUAAGCGUGCGGUGAAAGCCCGGGGCUCAACCCCGGGUCGGCCGUGCGAACUGUCGAGCUGGAGCACUGUAGAGGCAGGUGGAAUUCCGGGUGUAGCGGUGGAAUGCGUAGAGAUCCGGAAGAACACCAGUGGCGAAGGCGGCCCGCUGGGCAGUGGCUGACGCUGAAGCGCGACAGCGUGGGGAGCAAACAGG
rnacentral:rRNA from 1 species